rnacentral:rRNA from 1 species
UGGGGAAUAUUGCACAAUGGGCGCAAGCCUGAUGCAGCCAUGCCGCGUGUGUGAAGAAGGCCUUCGGGUUGUAAAGCACUUUCAGCGGGGAGGAAGGCGGUGAGGUUAAUAACCUCAUCGAUUGACGUUACCCGCAGAAGAAGCACCGGCUAACUCCGUGCCAGCAGCCGCGGUAAUACGGAGGGUGCAAGCGUUAAUCGGAAUUACUGGGCGUAAAGCGCACGCAGGCGGUCUGUCAAGUCGGAUGUGAAAUCCCCGGGCUCAACCUGGGAACUGCAUUCGAAACUGGCAGGCUAGAGUCUUGUAGAGGGGGGUAGAAUUCCAGGUGUAGCGAUGAAAUGCGUAGAGAUCUGGAGGAAUACCGGUGGCGAAGGCGGCCCCCUGGACAAAAACUGACGCUCAGGUGCGAAAGCGUGGGGAGCAAACAGG